rnacentral:rRNA from 1 species
GUGUCGCACGUUGAUCGUGCCGGUCGCCGAGGAGAAGCCGACGUACGUGACGUUUGUCACCGCGGUUGUGAGGUUGUAGGUGGCCGUGAACAACGGCUUCACUGGUCGGCCUACCUUGAGGGGAGCCAUGGUGACGGUGAUUUGAGCAACCCUGUGGUCGUAAUCCACCCACACCCGCAUGGCCUCACGGCUGAUCAGGCUCAGGUUGCGGAAGCUACCGUCCUCGUCGUCGAAGUAGCCGGCGUAGUAGGACUGCAGCGAUCUGAGGCCGUUGACGUUGGCGCCGGCGUGGUUCGCGUUGAGGUCGCCGAACUCCUUGUUCUGGAUGGUGUCCAGCUCCACGGCGAAGAAGUGGUUGCUGCCGUUGCCGUUGUUCUGGACGUCCGUGAGGCCCAGGAGCUGGCCGGGCAGCGCGGACGAGAAGUUGGUGCUCGACGCCACCACGAAGGCCAUGCCGUGGGCGCUCAGGUCGGUGAAGAUGGACUGGAUGGCGAACACGAAGGAGGCCGAGAAGGACUGAACGACGGCGCCGGGAGAGCCGGUGAAGCGGAGGGGAGUCCGGUAGAAGGCGUGGCCCUUCUGCUGGUCCGUGCCGUUGGUGAGCUCCAGGAGGCCGUCUGGGGUCACCGUGGCCGCGCCGUCCAGGGUGAGGUUGGCGCCGGUGAAACCGGAGUAGAGGAGCUGGCC